CUAGAGUCUGCUAUUGUUCCUCUUAACCCGAAUCCACUGUCUUUGCACAUUCUCCAAUGAGAACUGGCCGGUGUGAGCUUUGAAGCCGAAAUCCACAGCGCAAGUCGCCAAUCAAACAAACCAGUCAGACAAACAGGGAGAGCGAGAGAGAGCGAGGAAAGAGCGUGCGUCUCAUAUGGACUAACAGAGCCGCGCUCGUGAUCAGUGCACGAUCUUCUGCCACUGGAUACCGGAAAGGGCCUCCUGAUCACCAUCUAUCAAAGCACAGCGAUUGAGCCUGAGAAUAAACGAGAAGGACUAUGACACAGGCGCUCAAGAGGCCGUGCACACGAGAUCGACUUGACAACUUUGGGCUCCUGAGCUCAAAUACAUCUGUAUUUAAGAUACGUUUAUUUAAUAGGACCAUCUGAGCCACAUGUGAGGAAACGUUGUGUAGUUAGAGCCUAAUGAAACAGUUGCGCAACUUAUAGCGCCAUCUAGCUCCUUUCUGUGUUCCUCCUGUGCACUGCAGCACCCCCUACAGGAACAUGUCUGCAGCGCAGACUCAGAAUGACCGGGAGCAGUGCUGGGGUUGUCUGGAAUCGCUCGGCCUCAGCCAGAGGGAGCUGGUCCUUGCAGAGGCCCUGCAGAUGGAGUAUGACGCUCUCGCCCGCCACCGACAGGACAAGGCCCCAGCAAAUACUCUACCCCCUGAAACCAAGUCAUCGCCUGCAAAAAGCGAGCCCUCCCUGCCUAGACACGUUCCCAGUCCUCCUUGGAAUAAUUUGCAGCAGGGUGUUUCCGGAUCUGACCCCAUGCUCAACCACGUUCAACCCGGGGUGUCGAACUUAUCACAAUCCAGCAGUGAGUCUUCCGGAUUUAGUAAGGAGCCUCGUUACAUUCUGGAUGAAUGGAAAAGUGACUUCGAAGGAACGUCGCAGUUGCUGUCAAAAGGGCCACCGUCUCUAGAUGAGCCUCCGCCACCAGUACCACCCAGAAAUCCCAUCCUCCAGAACGAUCCGUUCAUUGUCCAUCGAAGCUCAGCCCCACGGGAUGUCAACUUGUUCACUCCUGAGGUGGACCAGCCCAAGCUUUCCUUCGGAGACACUCUGAACUAUGAUAACCUCAAUGACUCCCUGAGCAAGCUAAAUGAGGAUUGGCUCUCACCUAAUAGAAGCCAGAGAGCAAAUGGGGACAAAUCAGGGAAGACAGUAGCUCGCAGUAACACCCUUCCUCCUCAGAUUCCUCCCCGCACCUAUCUUCCAGCGCAGAAGAGUACUAGAAGCCAACGCAGAGUAUCAAUUGAUCCGGUAUCUCUAGGGUCCAGGCCAAAUGGCUUUGGUUACGAGCUCUUUCAGGUUUCUGAAGAGAGGGAUGAAGAAGUGGCGGCCUUCUGUCAUAUACUUGACUUGCUACGAUUGGCGUACCCAUGCAAUGACUACUCCAAAAAUACAGGCUUUGUUUGGAGUCCGUGUGUGGCACAAGAUGAACUGCAGCAGGGCCUGGGGGUCAGCAUAAAGGUCACGGUUUACAGUGACAACUUCAGAGAACCACUCACAUUCUCUUGUGAUGGAUCUUCAACCAUAGACCUGCUAAUUUAUCAGACUCUCUGCUAUGCCCAUGAUGACCUGGAUAUGAUUGAUGUGGACGACUACCUGCUGAAAAUCUGCGGCCAGGCAGAGUUCCUCAAAAACACUCAGACUCUGGCGAGCUUUGAGUACAUCCAGCAGUGUCUGAAGUUUGACUGGGACAUUCAACUCAUUCUUACCAAACGGAGUUCUGUCAACAUGGAGCUGGGCCGAACGGCAGAGGAUGAUGUUACUCCAUCCACCAUGAACCAAAGUAUUCUACUGCAAGAGAGGUCAAUCAAACAGACCGUGACCAGGGAGGCACUGACUCUUCUCCUGGAUACCUUUUACAAUGAGGCUGAGUCUUUCCUUUUAUCGGAGGUUGAGUUGCCGUUGCAUGUGGAGAGGUUAGUGCAGUCUGUGAAGGCUUUGUGUUCUUCUCUAGCAGCUGUUGAAACACCUGACAUCACUGCUGCCCUAAACCAACUGCCAGCAUGCCCCUGCAGACUACAGCCUAAAGUGCAAAAGGAUGUCAGUGUCUUGGCAAAGAGAGAAAACAGAGUGACAAUUGUGGAGAAAUUGACUGCAGCCAUCUUGGAUCUUGUGGAGUUGUACUGCAGCACUUUCAAUGCUAAUUUCCACACCAUGCCACACAGCAGCAGAUCCACAGCCCCCAUACAGGAAGCUGGAAUGGUCACCAACGUGCUUUCCUUCAGCGUUUAUGCGGCUCAUCGCAUCCCUAUCACAUGGGCUGCCAGCUAUGAAAAUUUCUUCCUGUCCUGUUCUCUUACACAUGGCGGAGUGGAGCUUUGUGCCCCCCAGCACACCAGUAAACAGUCGGUCAGCAAAUAUCUCUUCCACCUGGUGGUGUGGGACCAGAGAGUUUGCUUCCCCAUCCAGAUCAACCAGUUGCCAAGGGAGUCACAGUUGACUGUAACACUAUAUGCCACCCCUGUACCGCCCCCUGGAGGUGCGGAGGAGAAGGGCAAACAGAAACGCAGCAUUGAGGCUUUGGGUUGGGUCACCAUGCCCUUAUUCAACUUUAGACAUGUUCUAACAUGUGGGAGGAAGCUGCUGGGUCUCUGGCCUUCAACCCCUGGCAGUGGAAAUGCUCGUUCCAGUUUGCCCAACUUCAGCCAGCCAGACAGUGUCAUCCUUCAGGUUUGGCCUUUUGUAGAGGCCACUCCCCAACAUGAAUUCAUAAGCCAACGAAGAGCGUUGACUCCAGAGGACCGGCGUCUAUUGUGGGAGAAGCGUUAUUUCUGCCACGUUGAAGCCAGUCGUCUGCCGCUGGUCCUGGCCAGCGCACCCAGCUGGGAGUGGGCAUGUCUUCCUGAUAUCUAUGCCCUGCUCCGCCAGUGGGGAUGCAUGAACCACCUGGAUGCCCUAGGCCUGCUGAACGCCACGUUUCCAGAUCAGGAGUGCAGGCGGACAGCGGUCCAGUGGAUGGACUCAAUCUCUGAUCCUGAGCUUUUGGACUUCCUUCCUCAGUUAGUGCAGGCGCUGAAGUACGAGUGUUAUCUGGACAGUCACCUGGUGCGUUUUCUGCUGAGGAGGGCCAUUGGGGACAUACGCAUUGCUCACUACCUCUUCUGGUUGCUGAAAGAUGCUCUUCAAGACUCUCAGUUUAGCGUGAGGUAUCAGUAUCUGCUGGCGGCUCUUCUCUGCUGCUCUGGUCGUGGUUUGAGAGAAGAGUUUGAUCGGCAAUGCUGGCUGGUCAAUAUUCUGGCUAAAAUAGCCCAACGUGUUCGAGAUGCCUCGCCUUCAUCCAGACAGGCUAUUCUCCGGGAGGGUCUGGAUGAGGUCAAACAGUUCUUCUCUAUGAACAGCAGUUGUCGACUUCCUUUGAACCCGGGCCUGUUCGUCAAGGGCAUCAACAUACAGUCUUGCUCCUACUUCAACUCUAAUGCAGUGCCCCUCAAGCUGUCGUUCCAGAACCAGGAUGCUCUGGGGGACCACGUCAAUGUCAUCUUUAAGUGUGGAGAUGACCUGCGGCAGGACAUGCUGACGCUGCAGAUCAUCCGGAUCAUGAAUAAGAUCUGGAUCCAGGAGGGACUUGAUAUGAGGAUGGUCAUCUUCCGCUGUUUCUCUACUGGACGAGGCAAAGGCAUGGUAGAGAUGAUUCCCAGUGCAGAAACCCUGAGGAAGAUCCAGGUUGAGCAUGGAGUGACUGGUUCUUUCAAAGACCGGCCUUUGGCAGAUUGGCUGCAGAAACACAACCCCACUGAGGAUGAGUAUGAAAAGGCAGUGGAAAACUUCAUCUAUUCGUGUGCUGGUUGUUGUGUGGCCACAUACAUUCUAGGAAUCUGCGACCGCCACAAUGACAACAUCAUGCUUAAGACUAGCGGACACAUGUUUCACAUCGACUUUGGCAAGUUCCUGGGGCAUGCACAGAUGUUUGGCAACAUCAAACGGGACCGGGCUCCUUUUGUGUUUACAUCUGACAUGGCGUAUGUCAUCAAUGGAGGUGACAAGCCAUCCAGCCGUUUCCAUGAUUUUGUGGACUUGUGUUGUGAAGCCUACAAUCUGAUUAGGAAACAUGCACAUCUUUUUCUCAAUCUGCUUGGGCUGAUGCUCUCCAGUGGGAUACCAGAGUUGUCUGAUGUGGAUGAUCUGAAAUAUGUUUAUGAUGCUCUGAGACCACAUGAAUCAGAAGCAGAUGCCACCAUGCACUUCACCAGGCUAAUCGAGUCCAGUCUUGGCAGUGUGGCUACUAAGCUCAAUUUCUUCAUCCAUAACCUGGCCCAAAUGAAAUUUGCAUCCUCUGAGGAGCGUCCCGUUCUGUCAUUUGCUCCCCGUGUCUACACUUUAAAGAGUGAUGGUGUCAUUCGCAACCUAUUCGUCUGCAGACACAUCAAAACCUAUACUCCAAGCAAAGGCUAUUCUUAUGUUGUAAAAGUGGAGCGGGAAGGUCAGCAGGGGUCAACUUUAGUCCAGAGGACAUUUGAGGAGUUCCAUGAACUUCACAGUAAACUGCAGCUCAUCUUCCCUUCAUCAAAACUACCCAGCUUCCCCAGCCGCUUUGUGAUUGGUCGGUCUCGAGGAGAGGCCCUUGCAGACAGGAGGAAAGAGGAGCUAAAUGGAUAUGUUUGGCAUUUGAUCCAUGCUACUCAAGAGGUGGCACAGUGUGAUCUGAUCUACACAUUCUUUCACCCUCUACCAAGAGACGAGCGGGCAGGAAGUGUAGGAACUGUUGUUAAUGCACUCCAUAACAAACCAGCAGAUGUGUCCUGGGCUCCUGUUCCCGGUACAGUGGCAGGGGAAGUGAAGCUCUCAGUUCUGUACAAGAGCGACAAGCUUUUUAUCAUGGUGAUGCACAUCAGAGGCUUGCAACCUUUGCAGGACGGAACAGAUCCUGAUCCAUACGUCAAAUUGUACCUCCUCCCAGACCCUCAGAAAACUAGCAAGAGGAAGACCAAGGCAGCCCGGCGAACAUGCAACCCCACUUACAAUGAGAUGCUGGUGUAUGACAAGAUUCCACGUGGUGAUUUGCAGCAAAGAACCGUUCACCUGCGGGUACUGAGUGAGGGUGCAUUCUGGGAGAAUACCCUGCUGGGUGAAACCAUUAUUCAACUGAAAGACCUCACCCCGGGCCAUCGCUGGGUUGGCUGGCACCAGCUUGGCUCUGACAUAAACCGCUAACACUUGUGUGGAUGCCCAUUGGAAAUGAAGGAUUUCACAUGAGUCCUUCAGUGUGCAUGCGUUUGUGUCUGUCUUUGCUUAUGGGUCUGGAGUUGGAGAUGCCCAGCUGCUCAGAAGCCUGUUUCCCCCAGUGGGGGUUUGUGUUUGUUAAUUCUCCCAGGAGACGUGUAGAGUCGGUGAUGGAGUGUCAUCGCUUGAUACUGUUCUGGUGGGGUACCGUGCACCAUGUGAACCAGACCUUGGAUUUAUGGAAGCGGUUCUUGGUGACACUAUGGGACAAAAACCAUUUGGUGACACAAGGAUUGGCAGACAGAAUAUUUAAAGAUGAAAUAACUUUCAUGCGCCAUAUUUUUGGGGAGAUUUCUGGAAAAUUGAUGUCUGUGAAACUUUAAAGCCCCAUUUUGUCUUCUUGAGAAUGCUAAUGGAAAUUUAAGUUAUUUUUUUUUUAAGAUGUUUCUCUGUUGCAGCUCAAUUUUGAGCUAUGUUGUGUCCUGUGACAUUAGUUUUUCUCUUUGUAUCAGAUUUUGCAGACAUUUACCUAGGAAUUAAUAGUGAGGAACGCUUUUGUACUGUAAAGUUGGAUAAUUUCAGAUUGCCUGUGGCAUUUACCUGAUCAUGAAAAAGGGAUGAACACUUAAUAGUCUUUGGCUUGAAAUUGUGGAAUUAACUUGCUUCAUAUAACCACUGCAGGAAGUGACACAAACAGUACAGAGGGAAUGUAGAUUUUUGAUCAUGUAAAAUAGGUGGGUUCAUAAAAAAAGGAAUUGCAUGUACAGUAUAUUGAGCAAAGGAGACAAACCAGGAAUAUGAAUUUUGUUGCAUAAACCUCUAAGAUUUGUUUCUUUCCAAAAUGAUGGGGCGCAACUUUAUAUGCAGAAAAGGCUUUUGAAGGGACUUGAUUUUGCCUUGUUGAUAUAAGCAUAACCUACACAAGGACAUUUCUGUUUGGAAAUAGUUGAUUUGCAUGUUGUAAUAUUUGCUACUGGAUAAAUAUUGCAUUUUUGCAUUUGUUUGUCAAGUAUAUUGACCUCACAUUUUUCCAAGUUUUAUUGGUUAAUUUUGUGUGUGUGCGCCAAAGGGGGAGUGAAAUGAAUGCUUUAGACUGUAGUUAGGUCAAUUUCCAUUCCACAUUUGUACAGUAUGUAAAACUGCAUGUAAAUUAAAUGCUAAAUAUACCACAGGAGUUUUUUUUUUUUUUUCAACUUAAAGAUUUUGCAUUUAGAUUUGCUUUACUUUGCACUCAGUUUGAUUUUGAGAAGAACAACCUUAUAGCUCAUAUAAGUUUAGAAAAGAAAUUAAGUAAUUGGAAAUCUAUUUAAAUUAUAUUUGAUCUUACUUGCAUAAAAUUGUCUAAUUUAACAAAGUGGCAUUGAUGUUUGUGUUACAAAAAUAACCUACAAGUCAAAAGUGCAACCCCUGUAUGCGGAGGUGCUCUAACAAUCCAGUAGCCUUAAGCAAACUUAUAGGUAAGAUUAUCCAGUUCAAAGCAGUCCCUGUUCUAUAGCUCUUUCUAACCAGACAAACCAGCUCCAUUUCAGAUAUGAAGUACAUUUUCCCAAGUAUUGAACUUUCCUUCAAAUGACAAAUGGUUGUGUAUGUGUAUUUUUUCCCUCCAAAGGGCACUAUUGUGUGAUGUUUAACCUAAUGGGAAAUGAUUGUAUGAUUGCAUGCCAACCCAUAAUGCAAAGCUGAGUGUUUUAGAAAAAAUAAUAAUAAUAAUGUUUUGUGUGUGUAUGCAGAAGAGUUUGGAUUUAAACGUAUAGUACUUUUAUAACAUCUGUGACCCUUAUUUUAAUAAAUAAAGAGGAUGUGAUUAAAAUCA
ensembl:lncRNA